UAACAUAAUAUCUUAUCGAGAAUAUUAUAAUUUAUAAUGUUGUCACGUACUCCGUCGAUAAUCUGCGCACUACACGUUUAUUUAAAUACAAAUUAAAGAGCACCUUCUGGCGAGCACAUUCUUUUCCCGUAUUAUAAUUUAUAAUUGUUGAGCGACGCGUAAUCUAUAUGCGUACAAUGUCACUUAUGGGACUAUUCGAAAUUGAUCAUCGCGUUUAUUAUUAGGAUUGCCGGACGGUAUCUAAAAAAUGUGUAACUCAAAAGAUUG